rnacentral:rRNA from 1 species
GACGAACGCUGGCGGCGCGCCUAACACAUGCAAGUCGAACGGAGAAAUCAUUAGAAAUUUUCGAAUGGAUAAAGAUUGAUUAGUGGCGAACGGGUGAGUAACGCGUGAGUAACCUGCCUUGAAGAGAGGGACAACAGUUGGAAACGACUGCUAAUACCUCAUAUAUGUAUUUAUCACAUGGUAGAUACAGGAAACGGAGCAAUCCGCUUUAAGAUGGACUCGCGUCUGAUUAGAUAGUUGGUAAGGUAAUGGCUUACCAAGUCUACGAUCAGUAGCCGGACUGAGAGGUUGAACGGCCACAUUGGGACUGAGAUACGGCCCAGACUUCUACGGAAGGCAGCAGUGGGGGAUAUUGCACAAUGGAGGAAACUCUGAUGCAGCGACGUCGCGUGAGGGAAGA